CACGUAGGCGGCUUCUUAAGUCAGGGGUGAAAUCCUGGAGCUCAACUCCAGAACUGCCCUUGAUACUGAGGAGCUUGAGUCCGGGAGAGGUGAGUGGAACUGCGAGUGUAGAGGUGAAAUUCGUAGAUAUUCGCAAGAACACCAGUGGCGAAGGCGGCUCACUGGCCCGGUACUGACGCUGAGGUGCGAAAGCGUGGGGAGCAAACA
rnacentral:rRNA from 1 species